GACGAACGCUGGCGGCGUGCUUAAACACAUGCAAAGUCGAACGAUGAAGCCCUUUCGGGGGUGGAUUAGUGGCGAACGGGUGAGUAACACGUGGGUAACCUGCCCUGUACCCUGGGAUAAAGCCUUGGAAACGAGGUCUAAUACCGGAUAUGACCUGCUCUCGCAGUGGGGGGUGGGUGGAAAGUUUUGGCGGUGCAGGAUGGACCCGCGGCCUAUCAGCUUGGUUGGUGGGGUGAUGGCCUACCAAGGCGACGACGGGUAGCCGGCCUGAGAGGGCGACCGGCCACACUGGGACUGAGACACGGCCCAGACUCCUACGGGAGGCAGCAGUGGGGAAUAUUGCACAAUGGGCGAAAAGCCUGAUGCAGCGACGCCGCGUGAGGGAUGACGGCC
rnacentral:rRNA from 1 species